rnacentral:rRNA from 1 species
ACUGACUCUAGCCCAACCACACAUCAAUCAAACUACUACAACCAACUGAGCUAAAGCAUUUAACAAUUUAGAAGUAUAGGAGAUAGAAACUCUACUAAGGCGCUAUAGAGAAUAGUACCGUAAGGGAAAGAUGAAAGAUGGAACAACAGUGUUAAAAAGCAAAGAUUAACCCUUGUACCUUUUGCAUAAUGAGCUAGCCAGAAUAGAUUUAGCAAAGAGAACUUCAGUUAAAUACCCCGAAACCAGACGAGCUACUUACGAACAGCUAAUAGAGCAAAUUCAUCUAUGUUGCAAAAUAGUGAAGUGAUUUGUAAGUAGAGGUGAUAAGCCAACCGAGCCUGGUGAUAGCUGGUUGUCCAGUACAGAAUAUUAGUUCAACUUUAAACCCUACCUAUAGAAAGACUAGUCCUAAUGUAGGUUUAAAUGUUAAUCUAAGGGGGUACAGCCCCUUAGAACUAGGUAAAACCUUGUUUAGAGAGUAAAUACACACACACACCCAUAGUUGGCCUAAAAGCAGCCACCAAUUGAGAAAGCGUUCAAGCUCAACAGCAACACACCUACUUAAUUCCACAACCAUUAAACAACUCCUAAACCCAAACUGGACCAAUCUACACCCAUGUAGAUGAGACACUGCUAGUAUGAGUAACAAGAAAUAAUUCUCCCUGCACGAGCCUAUAUCAGAACGGAUGCCCACUGAUAGUUAACAGUCCAAUAAAAUUUAAACCCAGCCCAAGAUACUUAUUUAAUUAACUGUUGACCCAACACCGGAGUGCACACCACCUAAAGGGAAAGAUUAAAAGGAGUAAAAGGAACUCGGCAAACAAAAACCCCGCCUGUUUACCAAAAACAUCACCUCUAGCAUAAAAAGUAUUAGAGGCACUGCCUGCCCAGUGACACAAGUUAAACGGCCGCGGUAUCCUGACCGUGCAAAGGUAGCAUAAUCAUUUGUUCCUUAAAUAGGGACUUGUAUGAAUGGCCACACGAGGGUUUAACUGUCUCUUACUCCUAAUCAGUGAAAUUGACCUUCCCGUGAAGAGGCGGGAAUAAGCAAAUAAGACGAGAAGACCCUAUGGAGCUUUAAUUAACUAACUCACAUACAAUCAAGCCCAACCCGAACGGACAUAAAAAAUGUAUUCUGAGUUAGCAAUUUUGGUUGGGGUGACCUCGGAGAAUAAAAAAUCCUCCGAAAUGAGCUAGCCAAGACAUAACAAGUCAAAGCAACUUACACAACAAUUGAUCCAAUAACUUGAUCAAUGGAACCAGUUACCCUAGGGAUAACAGCGCAAUCCUAUUAUAGAGUCCAUAUCGACAAUAGGGUUUACGACCUCGAUGUUGGAUCAGGACAUCCCAAUGGUGCAACCGCUAUUAACGGUUCGUUUGUUCAACGAUUAAAGUCCUACGUGAUCUGAGUUCAGACCGGAGUAAUCCAGGUCGGUUUCUAUCUAUUAGAUAUUCCCCCCAGUACGAAAGGACAAGAGGAAUAAGGCCAACUCAUCAGGCACGCCUUUAACUUAAUAGAUGAACCCAUCUAAACCUAGUAAGUUAUCAUAAACCCUGCCCAAGAGCAGGGCUU